UGGGUUAAAGGAUGGAUGGGUCGGUGUGGAUGAAGGUGCAGCUCUGCUUCCGGCCCUCUGAGAACUGAGCUGGGUCUGUGAAGGACCAGGGAUGAGCAGCUCUGAUGAUUAAAAUAGUGAAAAUCAAGAGCCUUAAGAAAACGUUAGGAUGUAAGCUUAUUUAACGCAGUGGAGGGAAAGUGGGCUAUAGCCUCAUCACUGUCUUCAAAAACACCCCAUUCGAGGGAAAGGCUUGUUAAAAUGUCGAGUGAAAGCUUUAUCUGCUCUGUGAGAUCAAUCAGGACUGUGGGCAAAGAAUACAAGGGGGACUGGCUUCAAGAAAGCCACCAAGCCACCUGGGGGGCGGGGCUUGUCUGCUGAGAAUAUCCUUGAGGCUGGUCACUAGUACAGCAGGCAAAACGUCAGUGUAACCAUGAGUUAGAAUGUCACAUAGCGUGGUGUAAAACUCAGGAGAAAAUGUGAAUCCACCUAAACCAAAUGCGUUGGCUGUAAAGCCACCAGCUCUGGGAAGCCAAGAUGGGAGGAUCCCUGUGCAUUUGAGGCCAACACGGGCCUACAAAGUGAGUCCAGGGGCAGUCUUGUCGACACAAUGAGGUCCUCUCUCAAAACCAGCUACAAAACAAGUUUAAAUGAGAACAGCAAGGUAGCCAGGGGCAGGAUAAAUGAGAUCGGUGAAAGGCGGCGCCUGAUCCUUCCCAAGUCGCCUCCUACCUGGCGUUCACUGCCACUGCCGCCACUGUUAGCCCUAAGAGUCCCUGUGCUGUUAACCCAAAGCAGCAGUAGCGUGUCCUUGUAUUUCCUUGCUGGCACGGCGUAGACCAGCUAAGCAUCUCUUCCGUGCCAAAAUGCAGCGGGGGUGACUGGGAAUGCAAGCAAGCCAACCACACACCAGCACUCUCCUCUUUCACUUCUUCCGCUUAACAGAAUUGUUGGGGGUGAGAGGUCAUGCACAGAGACGGCAGCGGAGGGUGCCGCAGAGACAGAUGUAGCUGGGGAUGAAGCCAGGCUUCCUGGUGGAGACCGGGCAUGGAGGCUGCUGGGUAAGAAGCAUGCUGCUGCGAGGCCCCGGAGCCAGGAGACAGAAUGGCUGCAACUGAAACAUCGUGGAGAAGUACUGAGGCUGGCUGGGGGGCCCGCCUGCGACACGUGCAGGACGGCUUCACGGGCCACGCUAAUGAGUUUGACGUUCAUCCUAAGCAAAUGCUUGCAGGGUUGGAAGCUGGAGAGUGAGGCGGGUGAGCUGCCUUUUAUGAAGACGGGAAGGAGAACGUUCGAAUGGCGUGACUGGACGGCAAUGUUUAGAGGAACAAGAGUUCCUAAGCAAAACCUGCAGGCAGAGCUGAGCAGGGGAAGCAGAAAGCAAGCAGACUUUACUGAUCCAGUCCCCCCUUUCCCACCGUGGACCUGGAGAGUCUAUGGCACACCGCUGCCGUGGAAAGCGCUAAGGAGUGAAGUCAAGCGUCUUUUCCUCCAGAGUGUCUGACUGGGGCAUUCACCCAACAGAUCAUUUGCCGAUGGUAACUUAGUUACUUGUCUGUUGUUGUAACAAAAAGGAAACUACCUGAAGAAACUUCAGGAAGGAAGUGGUUAUUCUGCCUCAUAAUUCAAGGGUCCAGUCCACCAUGCCUGAGAGCUCAGACACAGGGCUUGAAGCAGAAGGAUCACAGGACAGUUAUACUCAGAAAGCAGAUAAGGAAUGCUUUUGCUCAGCUCACGUCCCCUUUUUAUGCAGUCCAGGGUACCAGCCGAGGGAACGCCGCCACCCACCAUGGUUGUGUCUUCCCACUAUAAUGAAUAUAGCCUAGAUGACCCCUCAUAAAUGUGGUUGGAGGCUUGUUUCUUAGGCAAUUCUGGAUUCUAUCAUGUCAACAAUUCAUACUAACCAUUGCAUAGCAUUUAUCAAUGCAUAGGAGCUCUUUAUGUAUUAAGAACUGAGUUCUUUGCACAGUGAGCUCCCAUGCUGCAUGUACACAUAGAUACAUAGAAAUACAUUUACAUAUAAUUUAUAUAACACAUAUGUGCUCAUUCUGGGGAUCAAAUCCAGGGCUUCACACUUGCCGAGCAAACAUGGAAAUUUCAAAUCAUCUUUUCUGUUUAUUUUGGAAUCUUUACUGAAAUCCCAUGAAAUGUGUAAGUUGAUUAAAGAACUGAAAUGAAAAUAUUGAGGGUUUCAUUUGUACAAAACUUACUUUUUGCCUUUUGGCUAGACUUGGUUCUUGAUGUCACACACUCUUGUGAGAACUGUGUGUUCCAUCUUCUCAGCUGCCUUCAACAGUGAGGUCUCUUCUGCCUCCCCAUGUUGCUGACUGGUUCUGUUUAUGAACAUCAUUUUUAUCUGUGCCUGUUAACUGUGUACCCAACGACUUAUCUCCAGUUUUUCUGUUGGCUCUCUGACCCACUGCUUCAGGUCUAAAACUGUCUCCUUUUCGACCUCCAUGCCCCCCCUCCCUCCUGCUUCCUCUCCCUCCUCCCUUUCUCCUUUCCCCUUUUCCUCCAUUUCUCCUUGCUCAAUAAUUCCGUUUAGCACCUCUGAGAUACUGCAAAGUCUCAGUGGUGAUAGGAUGAUGCACGCUUUUAUUGUACAUGAAACAUACCUGGAAGCUGCUUGCUGCCUUUGGGAUAGAAGCAUUAGAUGGAAUUCGUAUUAACCCUUGACUCUUCCUUCAGUUAAUAAAAAAUACUGGAUGUAAGCAAAUGCCA